UAAAAUGUUUCUACACAAACACUGGUACUUUUUUUCAACACAAAUUGUGAUUUAUAUGACAAACAAACUUAGUCAGGGCACAUAAACCACUAAAUAGACCACUGUAUAUGUUAGUUUAAAAA